ensembl:lncRNA
GGUGAGCUUUGGGAGAGCGGUGGCUGCAGGCUGGUGGGUGGAACCAGGCAGACUGUGGACGGUCCUGUGCCUGGCGGAUGAGUCCUGUGCCUGCUGGAGAUUCUAUUUCCGUGGUGUCCUGGCAGAUCGGAUCACAGCAUCCUCUUCAGAAACCAGCUCUUCACUGGAGAUGGAAGCCUCCUUAGAAAGGUCCUUCUUGGAGACCCGGGGGUUGCUGAUGAUGAACUGGGCAGCUGGGACCAAGGAGAUGGAGGAGGUGAGGGCAGAGAAAGAGCACGGGUCUGGUGGAUCUAGAACGGGGCAAGAUGGAGCAGCAGACAAAGAGGCAUUGGGGACCUGGAGCCUGGGUCCAGGCCCGAGACUGAAGGACUUGACCUCCUGUGCCCUCCUCUGGCUGAAGGAUUUGAUGAUCUCUCUGGAACCUAUUUCUGGAUCACUUCCAAGAAGAGGCAGCCAUCAACGGGCUGGACAUAAGGAAGACCAGUGGCUGCUGAGGAGGCCUGGGGGAGAGACGUGUCCACUUCCGGUGCUCCGUUCUGGAUGGUCGCUCACCAAGUCAGCGAGAUCCCUCUCAGGGAAUUUUGAAUGAGAGAUGGGGAGAAAGAAAAACUCAACGAGAUGCAAAAGCAAUAGACGCAGAGGAGGAGAGGAGGAGGCAGAGAGAGGCUGGCAAGACGGAGAGGUUGAUGCAUGUGCAGCUCGCAUCCUGGGGCAGAACCUGGAUCAAGAUGGCUGUCACCAGAGCAGCUGGAGGGGCCACAGCACAGUCAGGGUUGUACCCUGCACAGCCCUCCACCAAGGGCUGCUUUCCUGAACAUCCUUCCCAGUGUCACUUGAUGUAACCUGAAUGAGUCUAAUAAACUUGAAAAAACC